AAGUCAGUUUUAUAUAACACUGAAGCCAAAACCACUAUUUUCUCCCGUCUCCCAGCUCUUUGAUUCCUCUGCAUUGGUGCGAGCUCAUCGUUUCAUCGCUUAGGGAUUUUGCUAAUAUCUGAGAUAUGGAUCUUAACAAACUCAAUCUAAAUGCCCCUCAUUCCAUGGGCACGACCAUCAUCGGCGUCACUUACAACGGAGGAGUUGUUCUCGGAGCCGACUCUCGGACCAGCACUGCCCUUCGUUAAUGGUGGAACAUCUUGUAUGCUCACUACAUGCGUCAUCCAACCCAUUGAUAUGAUCAAGGUGAGGAUUCAAUUGGGUUAGGGAUCAGCAGGCCAAGUGGCGAGGACCAUGCUUAAGGAGGAGGGCUUUGGUGCCUUUUACAAGGUUUGGAUCUAUAAACCCAUAAAAAUCUACACUUUCUACUUGGAGGAAAAAAAAAAGGAUUAAAUUUGCCAUUAUUUGAGUUUUUGAUGUAGUUUUAUAAGGACGCAUGCUUUUUCAAGUACGUAAUUCGGUUUUUAUUUUUACAAGAUCUAUAUGAAAAUAUGGAUGUCUAUAAUGAUUUAUCGAAAAACUUGAGUUUCUUAUAUUGGUGUGUCAUUUGACUGGAGUAUGAAUUGGUCAUUAAUUGAUAAUUAUUAUCUUAAUUGUUUUCAGAUGAGCUAUAAUAGAAGGUGGGGAUUGUCUUACACUAUUAGUUGAUUGUUAACUUUUUGGACAAGUUAGAAUUUUGAUCAUAGAUCACAUCUGAGUGUUUUUGUUUUCUUUUUUAUUUUGUUUUUUUAUUAUGCCUCAAUUCUGAAAAACAACAUCAAUGCUGUUGUUUUGUACUCUAUUUUUUGUUAUAGGUUUUUCUAAUAAGUUUUAUGAAUUUCUACAUAAAUAUGUUUAGAUGUUUCAUAUCAUAAUUUUUGUAUGAACUGAAGCAUCUAUACAACUUUUUAUGCUCAAGUCAGAUUGCAGUUUCUGUUUAUUAAAAAUUUAUGGGUUUUAUUUUUUUGAUUUGCAUGUCAUUAUUAUUAUUUUUCCAUUGGUAGGCAAAUUUUUCUUACUAAAACUGUUCAGUUGAUAUUUAUUUUGAUGUAGCUGAGUUCUUAAUCAAUCCUAGACCUUGAGUAUACUAAACCAAACCAACCUAUUUGCAAGACCUAAAAAAGAGACUAUCUAAAAAACUUUUGACAGUUUUUUCUCCAGUUGAAUGCAUUUGUGUUUGCAUUGUUUGAAUCUAUGCCUAAUUAUAAUAUACCAAUUAGAAUGUAAAAGC